rnacentral:rRNA from 1 species
CUUGCUUUCUUUGCUGGCGACCGGCGCACGGGUGAGUAACACGUAUCCAACCUACCCUUUACUCGGGGAUAGCCUUUCGAAAGAAAGAUUAAUACCCGAUAGCAUAAUGAUUCCGCAUGGUUUCAUUAUUAAAGGAUUCCGGUAAAGGAUGGGGAUGCGUUUCAUUAGGUUGUUGGUGGGGUAACGGCCCACCAAGCCUUCGAUGGAUAGGGGUUCUGAGAGGAAGGUCCCCCACAUUGGAACUGAGACACGGUCCAAACUCCUACGGGAGGCAGCAUG